AAGUGGUAUUUUUUCCUGUCUGUAAUCACUGGCUGUGGGAGAACCCUGGAGCUGUGGGCCAGCCUUGGCUCCUCUGUGGGCACAUCUCUUGAGCUGCUGGGACAUCAGGGUGAGGAGCAGCCCUAAAUUUUCAUAUGAUCUGAGAAGCCAGAAGAAUCUGAAACCACAAACCUCUGUCAUCUCCAGUCACUACAAGGAACGAGAUAGACAGGUCCCGGGAUGAAGUCCAGGGUGUCCAGUGAGUGGAUGGAGAAGACCCUGUCUGGGAGCUUCUGCCUCUUGAGUGGUACCAGCCCUGCCUAAGAAGAGAAGAGAGGUGUCGAGGGCCUGCAGUGGCUGCCUGGAUCUUGCUAUGGUGCCGUGACGGUUAACAUUAUAUCAACCCACAGGAUCUGGAGUGAGUGGCUUCGGAGGUGAAUCUUUUAGCCUGUCGGUGACAGAGUGUCUGGAUUGGGCUAACCAAAGUGGGAAGACCAGCUCUAAACGUGGAUGGUACCAUCCCUUGAGCUGAGAUCCUAGACUUGGAAGAAAGGGAGCCAGCGAGCUGAGCACCAGCAUUUAUCUCUCUGCUUCCUGACUGUGGAUGUGUGUCCAGCUGCCUCACACGCCUGCUGCCCAGACUUCCCCCAACCCUUGGCCAAGUGGAUGCCUUCCAUGCUUAUACUGUCGCCUGUCAGGUCAUGGUCAUAGCAAUGAGACUUUAGGGUUAGGGUUAAGGUUAGAGUGAGGGUUAGGGUUAAGAUUAGGGUUAGGGUUGGGGUUGAGGUUAGAAUCAGUGUUAGGGUUAGUGUUAGUGUUGGUUAGGGAUAGUUUUAGGGUAUUAACCACACUUGCAUUCAUGCCAGUGUCAACUGAGUGUGAACCGUGCAUCCCACACAUGUGUCAAUGUUCCAGAAAGCAGAAUAACUACUUAUUACUGAGUGGAGAAUUAGAAAAUUACAAUUUAGGUCCCACAUCGCCCCUGGGUUAUCUUUAUCCUCCUUGAUAAGCAUUUGUCUCCCAGCCCCGUGUUUUCCCGUCCUCCUUUUGAUUGUUAUAUAAAUAGGUCUGCAGUGUCCUAACAGAUCGCUAGUUCCCACUGACUCCAAGAAUGGCAUCCGACAGCACAUGACUACCAUGAUAGAGGUCCUUCUUCUUAGGUGUAACUCAUGAAGCCGAUAUUUCCACAGAUUCAUUUGAAAAUCAUCUUGAUUUAUAUAACUUCCCUUUGUUCUGUAACCAUAAACAUAUCAGCCAACUGUUCCCAUGUUGUUGCAGAGCAUGUAAGUAACCUGGACCAGGUUCCUGGGCCACGUCACACAGUUUGCUCCCUUUGACUUGAGAGCUGGUCUUGUGUGAGCAGGAAGUGGUCAGGUCAGCAAAUCCCCCUCGUGGCCUGGCACUUUAUUCAGAUGAUAUGUGCCUUCCAGAAGAAGGGUGUGGAGAUGGAAUUUCAUCUCCUUAGACAGCUCUGGGUUCCAGACUUGGGAGUUUCAGGUUAGCGAACUACUGGGCAUACAAGGGGUAGUGGUAGAACUUUAGGGUGGGAAUUUCUACCCAGGAGCCCUGCAGUCCCGGUUGGCCCCAUAUAACACCUUGAUCUGGCAAUUUACUUAAAGGCACAAGCUUAGAUUUGCAAAACCUUCUUUAAUAAAAGUUCUCAAAUGCUUAGACCCCUCCCCCUUCUAGCCCACCAUCCAAAGGUAGGGGAGAAAAGAUGUUAAAUAGGACAAGGGGAUGUGGACCUGUUUAGAAGUAGUUCUUUGUGGGCAAUUUUAAUCUCCGUUUUCAGGGUACCAGCAGUCUAGUUGAAUAAUGUCAGGAUACUAGCAGUCCAGCUCAAAAGUGUCACCAGACACGAAUCAGCAGCAGUGGCAUGAUCUAGCAGAAACAGCAAGGCCUCCACCAAAUCGGCUCGAGUCAGCAGGGGUGACCAGAACCAGCCAGAACGCCGGAAGUGCUCUGCCUCACCUUUCAAUGAAGUGAAGCUCAGUGAAGAGGUGAGACCGACGAAGGGUAGCAUGGCUAGCCAUGCAGUCACAGCACCACUGUCUACCAGGUCCUACUUACACUCUCUCCAAACGCCACGUGUCCUCUCACUGGUCUGCUUCAGCAUAACACCACGUGAGUCUGUACCACAUGACAGUGUCUGAAGACAGAGGACUCUCGUGAAGGCCCAGCUGUGGCUCUGGAGCUAAUGGCCUGGCUUCUGGGAUAGCAGGACAGCAACCUGAGCAGCAUGUGAGGGAGGGGUAGGUAGCACCUUUGCCUGCCUGCACCCCCACUCGGGGGUGUCCUCCAGGCUGCAGGUUCAGUGUGGUGGCCGUAGAAACAAGAGAUUCUGGGACCCUCCUUGAGAAGCCCUAAUGCCAGGGACCUGGGGUUGGUUCCUUUCCUCCCUUCCUCAAACCCCUCUCCCUCCUAUUCCCUUCUUCCAUCCUUCUUCCUCUCCUUUUUCCUCCUCCUUACCCUUUUUCCCUCCCUAUUUCCUCCUCUCUCCUGCUUCAUCCCCCCCACUUCCUCUCCUCCCACUUCCUCCCCUCCCCCAUUUCCCCUUUUUCACUUCCUCCCUUCCACACUUCACCCAUUUCCUCCUCCCACUUCCUUUCCUCCUCAUUUCCUUCCCCUAUUUCCUCCCCUCCCCCAUUUCUUCCUCCCACUUCCUCCUGACCCAUUUUCCCCCCUCCUCCACUUCCUCCUCUCUCCUUCCUUUCCUCUUAGUGGCUUUGGGGAUUGAACCUAGUACCUCCUGCAGGCUAAGUGAGCACUCCACCCCUAAGCUACAUUCCCACCCACCUUUUUCAUUUCGAGACAGGUUGGCACUGUGCUGCCCACGUUGGUCUUAAAUGUACUCUGCAGCUGAGGCAAGCUUUGAACUGGCAAACCUUGUCUCAGCCUCUCAAGUUACUGUGAUUCUAGGCUUGCGUCUGCUGGCUCAGUGGGCUUCUGUACUUACACAAAGUAGAUCUGAGGAAGAAUCAUGUUUGAGAUGCACUUCUUCAUAAAACCAAACAUGCAGCCCAGGCAGAGAAAAAUCGGGCAAUGCAGGAAGAGGCAGGGUAUUUUACCGUGUCCAUAGGGCAAAGAGCAGAGAGCAGACAGGAAGGAGCCUGGAAUCUGGGGAGAUUUACCAAUAAAGGAACUCUGUGUUUUCCCCUCAGGCUGGCAGAUCCUAGGAACUAACUCUGAGGCUGGGGGGGGGGGGUGGUGCAUCAAGCAUAAGCUGGUAAUUACGCAGGCACCAUGGAGUGGGGGAAAAGCUGCAGCUCUGAAACCACACAAGACACUGAACAGACUCUUUGCUCCUCCCAUGUUGUCUAAGAAACCCAGAUGUUACUGUCAUAGCCACUACAUAAACAAACAAUGCCAGGCUACAGGGACUGGCUUCUCUGAUUGUCCCCCCCCCAAGGGUUGUCCUGGGCUUGGGCUGCCUCUGCAGCUUUUUUGGGUCAGCAGAGCAGGUGUCAGGCAUGCAGAGGAAGGUUAGAAAAUCCUAGGGGGGGAGGGGGGGUUGGGGAUUUAGCUCAGUGGUAGAGCGCUUGCCUAGGAAGCUCAAGGCCCUGGGUUUGGUCCCCAGCUCCGAAAAAAAGAACCAAAAAAAAAAAAAAAAAAAAAAGAAAAUCCUAGCGGGAGGAUGACUGGCCACAGGCCUGUAGAAACUUUUGCCUGAGGAUUUCUUGCCCCAUCAAGGAUCUCGUUGGUCUUGGAGGGCUUGGGAGCAAGAAGUGACAAUAUGGACAGGUUGAAAUGUUGAGCCGCCACACAGUUACCUGCUGCAAUGAUAUGCAGACCCUCCAACAUGAAGAGCAAGCUGGCUACUGCCUACUGAGGGCUCACAGGCUAAACCGGCCCUGAGAUGGGUCUUUUCAUGGACCAGGAUUCAAAGAUGGGAGGGAUGUUUCUCAGUUUCCUCAGGAAGCAUGUGGUACUGCAGUCCCCCAUAGACUAAUGGUGUGAGUGCUCAGAAGGCCCCGUCUACCCACCCCAAACUCUAGGGCUUUCAGGGGAUAGACGUGGAGCACAGGGGUGGUUACUCCUACCCCCGCAUCUGCCUGUGGUGCUGUUUCUUGCUCACUGCCCUCUGAGAGUCUUCUCUACUUGUUCUCAUGGAUGCUUCUUCACCAUGGAUACAGCCAUGCCUCCCCAUAGCCACGCCUCCCCAUAGCCACGCCCUCUCCACAGAGCCCUCCCCAAAGCCAUGCCCUCCCCUACCAUGCUGGACUCAUUUCUCUCUGAAACCCUGAGCCAAGUCAAGCCUUCCUCUCUCCUCAACAGCUUCUGGGAGGUGGACAGACAUGGGAAAGCAGAGUCUGAGUCUGGAAAUGCCUGUUCACCAUUUCAUCCAUAGUUUAGACUGGCUUUUCUUCUUCAUCAACUCGUUUAAACUCAGUUUUGAAAAACAAAGUUGCUUUUGAGUUUCAGCUGCAAACAAGGUUUCGGUGUUUAUUCUUUUAACUUAAAAAUGGCUACAGGCUUACAGGAUGGCCCUGCUUGCCUGCUUAUAGCACUGCAAGCAACACAAAGAAUGAAGGUAAAUUAGGGACUAUCCCACAACUCGUGAAAACUUCUCUGAACACUGCCCUUCAGACAGAGUGUCCUGGUGAUGCUUAGGCAUGGGGAGCUUGGAAACUCCAGGAGAAUGACUUAGUCACAUGUCUCAUUGCUGUAGUGAAAAAUCCGAGCAAAGCAAGUAAUGAAGGAAGUUUAUCUUGGCUCACGGUUUGAGGAUGCCAUCUGUCAGGACAGAGCAGGCAUGAAGGCAGGACAUGGGGCAGAAAGCCACAGUGCACAUAGUCAAGAUGCAGACAGAGAUGGUGUCUCGUGCCCAGUUCACUGUCUCCUUUUUAUUGAGUUCAGGACCCCAGCCUUUGAGGUGGUGUCACUCACACUGAAGAAAGACCUUCCUACAUCAGUGAAGGAUCUCGAAUCCUCAACCACAUGCCAGGCAGGUCAUCUCCAUGGCGAAAUGUGCACUUGGGUGCUUUAGUUCUGAGGGCCCUAUAUCUCUGGACUCCUUUGGCUGGACGCUGACCCCCAUUUCUCCAAUGCUGACCCACAUUUCCCCAAUGGUCACAUUUUCCUUCCACGGUCUUUCCAGAGAAGGUGCCCUGGAGUACUGCUUUUUAAGACUGUACGUUUUUUAAGCCGGCAUUUACCAAGCAUGAAUUUGAACUUUGUUGAAGAAACACUCUUGAUCAAGGGAGUUGGGGGCGGGGAUCCUGGUCAUCAAGAAAGGAGAUAGGCCCAUGUGGCCUCUUCAGGAGAAAGCCUGUGGCAGGGAGACCGAGUCAUCCAGACAUACCUGUGGGUAGCCUGACUUUGGGGGGUCUAGAUGGACAUACAGACAAUGAUAAAGGUGUCCAUGUAUAAUUUUACAUCUUCGAGAUGGUUACCAAGGGAACCUAAAUAAACCCUCCAGCUUGUUUGCUCUGAGCUGACAUAAAGGUCACCCUUGUGGGAGGUCACACAAGGGGCAGUAACUUGUUAGCUCCUCACUUGCAUUCCUGUGGAGGAAGCCUCUGUCACUGGGUUAUGUUAACAACUGCCUGGGGGAUUUUGUGAGCUCUGAUUCUUCCUUUGUGGCUUCAGGUGUGGCCUGGCAUCUGUCUUCACAUGUGUCCCCUUAGAUGCCUUGCAGGUCCUGUGACCUGCUACUCAUCUCUGCAUGUAGACGUGGCCUCAUUUGGGAAUCAUUUGUCCCAGGCCCCACACUGCCCAGUUGCCUAUCAGAGCAGAGGCACUCCCCUCAAGCCCUGCCCUCUCUCCCUUCAGCAGCCUCAUAAGGUCACAUCACCACGUCCAGCCCCCAAGCACAGUGUGUUCCUGCAGGAUUGCUCAGCAGUUUCUGGGACAAGCUGGCCCACUGCCUGAUUGACCCACCCGUUACUUAAGAAGCAAAGCAUCUUUUGAAACUGAGCCCUCAGUCCAUGGAAAAUGAGCGACUUCAGCCCAUACAAGUCCAUCCAGGCCCCUGUGGGGAGAGCAGCAGGGUUCCAGAGGAAGAUGGGCCAUCUGGGCCAACCUCCCAAUGAAACAUUGCCUGUAUUCACAGCACUUCUUGCCUCUGUCUUGUUAAUUUUUAGCCAAUUGGGCAGGAAGAAAAAUACUCAGUUUUGAGAUAUUUGAUGGAUCUUCUGUUUGAAGGUGGCCAUUGCCUUUCAUUGACAUAUUACCUUCUCACUGAUUUAUAAAAGAUUCUUUUGUAUAUUGAAGAUAUUAGUUCUCUGCAUUAGAAGUAUGAAAUUGUGAUUUUUAACUCUCCGAAUGGCAUUUAAAGGCGUUCGAUAGUGCAUUUUAUAUUGCUGUGUUCACAGCUCUGCUUUUGUGCCUUCUAAAUCCCAUGUGUUCAAAACGGCCAAUGAAUCUCACAGUGUAACAGCGUAGUCAUCUAUGUUUUCUUUUACUGGUUUUUAUGCCUUUUCUCUUCAUGCAAAUCUUUAGAUAUUCACUAUGUAGUGAGAAAUGGAUUUGCAUCCAACUUUAUAUUUUAGACAGCUCAUUGCGAGUGCUUCCUAACUAGAAAUGCCCACUGUAUGGUACACUAAAAUCUCUGUCUGUGGACUUGUCCCAGCCAGCGUGAUUUCUGCUCCUCUGGGCUAUGCUUUGAUUAUUUUAUCAAACCAUACUGCUUUACUGAACUGUCACCAACUAAUGCAUUUUUAAUGUUGGGCAAGACAAAUUCCUCAUAACCACCAAUCAAAGAAUUGUCUUGGCUCUCAUCAGCAGUUUAUUCCACACCUAAAUUAAAAGUUAUUUAAAUUAUAUUGGUUUAUUUGUGUGUGUGUGUGUGUGUGUGUAUGUGUGUGUGUGUGCGUGUGUGUGUGAGUGUGUGUAUGUGUAGGUAUGUGUGUAGGUGUAUGUGUAGGUGUGUGUAUGUGUUUGUGGUGUGUUUGUGUGAGUGUGUGUGUGUAGGUGUGUGUAUGUGUUUGUGGUGUGUUUGUGUGAGUGUGUGUGUAGGUGUGUAUAGGCGUGUGUGUAGGUUUGUGUGUGUAGGUGUGUAUAUGUGUUUGUGGUGUGUUUGUGUGUGUGUGUGUGUGUGUGUAGGUAUGUGUGUAGGUGUAUGUGUAGGUGUGUGUAUGUGUUUGUGGUGUGUUUGUGUGAGUGUGUGUGUGUGUAGGUAUGUAUAGGUGUGUGUGUAGGUUUGUGUGUGUAGGUGUGUAUAUGUGUUUGUGUGAGUGUGUAUGUGUAUGUGUGUGUAGGUGUGUAUAGGUGUGUGUGUAGGUUUGUGUGUGUGUAAUUGUGUGUUGUGUGUGUAUGUGUGUGUGGUGUGUCUGUGUGAGUGGUGUGUCUGUGUGAGUGAGUGUGUGUGUGUGUGUGUGCGUGCAUGUGUGUAGGUGUGUGCUGAGAUUCAAACUCAGAUUUUCACGCUUGCAAAACAAGUAUUCUAACCACUGGGCCAUCUCCUGUGGAUGUCAUUCAGACUAAUUUUUGACUUUGUACAUGUCCUGAGUUUUAUUGUUCGACUUAUUUCCAGGUAAUUUAGGACUUGAUCUGUUGCAAAUUAUUUUCAAAACUCUGUAUUUCCCAACUUCUUAUAUUUUAUGUAUGAGAAAGCCACUGAUUGUUGCAUUACUUAAAACUGAUUAUACUUCUGCGUAUUUAUUGUUUUAAUAUUUUUCUGUUAUUUUGGUUUUCUCUGGGAAUACCGCCUUAUUAUCUAUAAAUUAUGAUUGCUCCAUCUCUUCCCAUAUUCUCAGCAGCUUUUAUACUCCUGUCUAAUUGCUUCCCUCUGUACUUUAUUUUACAAUGGUGGCAAGAAACGCUCUUAAACUGUUUCUAAUGGGAUGCCUCUAGUAUUUUUACAAUUAAUUAUGAAGGUAAUUUUUGGAUGGAAAUGUGUAUUUUUUUUUUAAAUCCUGUAAGGAGAUAACCACCCAAUUGCAAGCAUCAGAAGUGGAUAUUAAAUUUUUAUUAAAUGUCUUUAUGGCCUAUAAAAAAGA